rnacentral:rRNA from 1 species
GGUGGAGCAUGUGGUUUAAUUCGAUGCAACGCGAAGAACCUUACCUGGUCUUGACAUCCACGGAAGUUUUCAGAGAUGAGAAUGUGCCUUCGGGAGCCGUGAGACAGGUGCUGCAUGGCUGUCGUCAGCUCGUGUUGUGAAAUGUUGGGUUAAGUCCCGCAACGAGCGCAACCCUUAUCCUUUGUUGCCAGCGGUCCGGCCGGGAACUCAAAGGAGACUGCCAGUGAUAAACUGGAGGAAGGUGGGGAUGACGUCAAGUCAUCAUGGCCCUUACGACCAGGGCUACACACGUGCUACAAUGGCGCAUACAAAGAGAAGCGACCUCGCGAGAGCAAGCGGACCUCAUAAAGUGCGUCGUAGUCCGGAUUGGAGUCUGCAACUCGACUCCAUGAAGUCGGAAUCGCUAGUAAUCGUGGAUCAGAAUGCCACGGUGAAUACGUCCCCGGGCCUUGUACACACCGCCCGUCACACCAUGG